GUCAUUGACACAAUAGGCAUGCAAAAAGAACCUGAGUGAUCUGCUUAGCAGGAGGCAGGCUGGGCAUUGGGUUAGCAGUACUGGCUCUAGAGAAUUCUACCGCAUAACUGAUAUCUUACACAGAACAGCUCUCUUCCUGGCUUGGGCUUCACUAAGGCCAUUUCUAAUCACCACCAAGUUUGAUUUCAACUUUGGAGUCAAUGCAAUCCUUGUGCUAAAUGAGAUCCUUCCUGGUAGUUACUGGCACUGUCUGGCAUAUUUGUGGAAGCAUUAACUCCUUGAGGUAGUCAAUUAGUUGCUGCUGGAGCUAAGUCCACGACAGAAUUUCUGCAGUCAGCUCUAGGCAGGCCCACCUCCUGCCACACUGCUCUCCAGGCACAUGGAAGGGUUUCCCUCACCACCAGUUUACUCCUGGGGCCUAGCUCGGUCUCAGGCAGGAGAGCACUCAGGAAGACAGCCAUAUAUCACUCCACUCGAGGCUGCCUCUGGUCUGGAAAUUGUGGGUCUGCUUCACCGUGUGCUGUAAAGAGCUUAUAUUUCCGUUUAUUUGUUUCUCCAGAUCGAAACAGCAUUGGCAGAGGGACAGAGCCAGCACCGGGACUGACCAGGAGCUGUUCCUCCUUCGCCUCAUUUUAGAGUUGAUUUGGGGGUUAAAGGUUACGCUUUUUGAGAGAGGUAGUAAAACAUUAAUUAUGGGUAAAGUUCUUUCUCUCUUGCUCCAUAGAUUAACUGGCUGAUCCUGUUUGCUCUAUGAAGUGAACCAUAUUUGCUAAGGGUAAUUUGAAAUCGGCAGUGCAAAUGGCCCCCUGACUUCCUCCUGCUGUUGGGCACUGUGCUGAGAUGGAGUCUUGCUCUGUCACCAAGGCUGGAGUGCUGUGGUGUGAUCUCGGCUCACUGCAACCUCCACCCGCUGGAAAAAUUGAACUGAAUUCUGUCUUAACCAACUUCCAGGGCAUGGCCAAAGUCAUCUGUAGCAGAGUAUCCCCAUGGACUGGGUUUGGGACUGUAACUUAGUGCCUGGAAACAUUGGUACCAAGCUGAGGCUCUUAUGGUUCCAUUGUUCGUGGUCUUGAGACUUGGCCUUCAUAAACACAGCUCAGCAAAGGCGUCGUUAUUGGGCAGGCCACUGCAAACUUGCCCAAAUCUGUGGAAGCACCUGGUGAAUCCCGAGCACUCUCUAAGCAGAGUGAGAAGAACCCUGAAGCCACAUUUUUGAAGUGUCUCUUAUGAGCGUUGAAGAUGGGGGCAUCUGCUGAGCUUAUGCAGGAGGCUGUUUGCUUAUUUGAGGGCUGAAGUUUGUAUGAAGACUGGCGGUGCGUGUGUAUCACCAGUCGUAGCCGAAGCAACUUGGGGAGGCUUUUCACGGUUGUUCAAGCUGUUUAUAACAGCUGUGUAUCCACAGGUGACACUAGUGCUUGGAGCAGCAGAGGAGCCAUGCUUGGGCAGCAGCUGCUUUGUAAUCCAUGCACUGAAAUUCUGUCCCCUGUGCUGGGUGGGGAUGCUCUCUGUGGUGUCAUUGAACUCAGUGUGUGUUGUUGCUGUUUGCAAUGUGCUCAAUGGCUCAGAUGCAAUGAUGGAUGCUUCCAGGAGAGGCAACAUGAGUCCUUGAAUCAUACAAAUUCAUAUUCCACAGCCUCAUGAAGUCAUCUCUGCUGAAUCAGGUUUCUCCCUGACAUGGAGGGUGUGGCCACACAGCAUCUGACAGCAUGGAGAGAGCAAUCAGACUAAUUUCUUAUUAUGUUCUAACAAUAUAAAAAAUCCAAACUGCAUAAUUGAGGCAAAUAAUAAAUCUUUCUGGACCAUGAUUACCCAAUUUGACUGUUUACUUUAAUCAAAUCACAAAAUAAUGAUCGAAUUUGGAUUUAAUUAUGUGCCUAUAAAGAUAACCAAGAAGCAAAUGUAAGUAACUGUCAGUCAAAGUCUUCUCAGACAAUAGCUCGCAUUACAACACGCCAAUUACAUUUUUAUCAGGUAGUUAAGUUAAUUACCUGUGGUAAAUGUGUUAGUGGGACAAGUGUAGAUUGCUGUAAACAUUUGCUGACCACUUUAAAAUGCUGCUGGACCAUAUGGGAGGAUUCAAGGGUACAAUAGCAUGCAGAUGUAUUUACACCUGCUAAUGCCAUAUAAAAUCCAAUAAAGUGUUCAUGGU
rnacentral:lncRNA from 1 species